CAGUAGCCGCGGGAAAACGGAGGGUGCAAGCGUUAUCCGGAUUUAUUGGGUUUAAAGGGUCCGUAGGCGGACUUAUAAGUCAGUGGUGAAAGCCUGUCGCUUAACGAUAGAACUGCCAUUGAUACUGUAAGUCUUGAGUAUAUUUGAGGUAGCUGGAAUAAGUAGUGUAGCGGUGAAAUGCAUAGAUAUUACUUAGAACACCAAUUGCGAAGGCAGGUUACCAAGAUAUAACUGACGCUGAGGGACGAAAGCGUGGGUAGCGAACAGGAUUAGAUACCCCUGUAGUCCCUGUCUCUUAUAC
rnacentral:rRNA from 1 species